UCCCUGGUGGUCCAGUGGUUAGGACUCUGCACUUUCACUGCCAAGGGCCUGGGUUCAGUCCCUGGCCCAGGAA
rnacentral:tRNA from 1 species